UUUUCGAUUACUCAGGAAGAAGGUAAACUUUAGCUUGAGAUGGUCAAUUAUCUUCAUAGCUCUAGACGGGAACGGCUCCGUCAUAGGAGCCUAAUGGGCCAGAAAAAAUCGACCAUGGCGGAUGAUUCAGUUCGAUUUCAGAGCCAGUCUCUUCACACAGCACCGUCUUCAGCUGCUCGGAUGUCUAGAAGACAGCCAAUCAAGCUGGACCCGUUGGAGCUGCAGCCAGUCAAACAAACAGCAGACAGACUCCGCGCCGACAGUUCACAUACGGGCUGACGGCACAUCUAACCUUCGGGAUGAUUUACAAAUUUUUUCUGAUAACGAGCCGGAAGAAAAUAGAGGGAAACAGAUUGCUGCAAGAGAAGGCGUGGGCGCGGUUGGUAACUCUUGAAAUUUGUGUCGUGAGGAGAAUGAGCCUGUACAGCAACGUUUACCUGGUAGCAGAUGAUGAGCAGCUGGCGAGAAUUUUGCAAGAAGAGUUUGAUCUAGAGGCGAGUCAUAUGCGGGAACAGAAUGUUGUUACUCAGGUUGGAGAAACUAUGCCACAACAUGGAAUUAGGAUAAUUCAGGAUUCUCAGAGACGUUAAGUCGCAGUAAUGAAUAAUUUGCAGUCUACACCUUUGUCAGAUCGUGCUAAGGCGAGUAAUGGUCUACACAUAGAAUCAGAGCAUCAUCGCAUGAGAGAACAUCUACACUUGGACUUGCUCAACGUAUACUCUCCACAGCAAGUGAGAAAGACACAAGGAACAACAGACACGUCAACAGAAUUGUCUCUAGAUGAAAUAACUACAG